GGUUGGGCAUGGGGUCAGUCCUACCCAAACCACAGGGACUGACUUGGGGGCAACUUGAUCGUGCAAAGGACAAUCAGGGUGCCCUUCCUGGAAGAAGGAGAAUGAAUGCUGAGCAGGCAAGGACAGCAGAUGCCACAGAGAACACCUUUGUGGAAAUGGUCUCAGAGCAUUUCAGAGAUGCUGCCCAGCAGUCCAGCCUUUGAGAUUCGUCCCUUCAAAUCAGGAAGGGCAAGGCCAAUUCUGGGAAGCCGCCACACUUGUGUUCAGGAAGCUGCUGCAUGCCAGGCUCUGGGCUGGGUACCGGAAGACAGAUGAGAAGGACCCAACCUGUAUCCUCUGAGUUCAGAGGAGAGAAACACAUGUCCAGCUGAACUCAGCAGUAGGGCCUCUGCAGGAGGAAACAAGGGAUGCUGUGGGGGAGGAACCUUCGUAUCUGGGGAACUGGGCUUUGGAGGAUGAGUAGGAGUUCAUCAGGAAAAAGAGGGCAGGGGUCGGGGAGGGAAAUCUAGACCAGGGGACAGAAUGAUAAGAAAGAAAGGACCUUGUGUCUGGGGAAGCAGGGAGGCUGGGAGUGGUGGCAGAGGGGGGCAGCAGGGAGGCUGGGAGUGGUGGGCAGACAUGGGUGGUGAACAGGAGGAGUAAUUUGAUCAGGGCCGAGUUUUAGAAAAGGCACUCGGUGGGCGGGUGGAGGAUUCCUGCUCUCCUCUCUGGGCUGUGGAUAGUCGAGCCUCCCAGAGCUCUGCUUCCUAACACCUCUCGACCUGGAGGUACUAACACUGUCUCUCUUUCUCUUUAACCCUCUGCCUGUCCGUCUGUCUUGCCAUCUCGUCUUCCCCCACCUAACCCCUUUCCCUUAAGGAUCGCUGACAAAGCAUUCUACCAGCAGCCAGAUGCUGAUAUCAUCGGCUACGUGGCAUCCGAGGAGGCUUUCGUGAAGGAGUCCAAGGAGGAAACCCCAGGCACAGAGUGGGAGAAAGUGGCCCAGCUGUGUGACUUCAACCCCAAGAGCAGCAAACAGUGCAAAGACGUGUCCCGCCUGCGCUCUGUGCUCAUGUCCCUGAAGCAGACACCGCUGUCCCGCUAGGUGCUGCCACAGGCACGGCCACAGCACGGGCAGGGGCAGGGCAGAGGAGCUGCUUCGGGCAGGAGGGUGGGAGGCCUCCGGCAGCUGCUCCACACAGCCUCCUCCCUUCCUCCCCAUCUCCCAGGGCUGGGAAGGGAGCACUCGCCCCUCUCACCCUCGUUCCCUCUUAAGUCCCAGCCUCUCACACCGCCUCUAAGUCCACAAAAUUGUGACUGUCCCUCUGAUGUACUUUUUUCUUGACUUAAAGGGUGUGUUGUUAAUUCUU